rnacentral:rRNA from 1 species
GCUCAACCGUGGAGGGUCAUUGGAAACUGGGAGGCUUGAGUGCAGAAGAGAAGAGCGGAAUUCCACGUGUAGCGGUGAAAUGCGUAGAGAUGUGGAGGAACACCAGUGGCGAAGGCGGCUCUUUGGUCUGUAACUGACGCUGAGGCGCGAAGGCGUGGGGAGCGAACAGGAUUAGAUACCCUGGUAGUCCACGCCGUAAACGAUGAGUGCUAAGUGUUAGGGGGUUUCCGCCCCUUAGUGCUGCAGCAAACGCAUUAAGCACUCCGCCUGGGGAGUACGGCCGCAAGGCUGAAACUCAAAGGAAUUGACGGGGGCCCGCACAAGCGGUGGGGCAUGUGGUUUAAUUCGAAGCAACGCGAAGAACCUUACCAGGUCUUGACAUCCCGCUGACCGGCGCAGAGAUGUGCCUUUCCCUUCGGGGACAGCGGUGACAGGUGGUGCAUGGUUGUCGUCAGCUCGUGUCGUGAGAUGUUGGGUUAAGUCCCGCAACGAGCGCAACCCUUGAUCUUAGUUGCCAGCAUUGAGUUGGGCACUCUAAGGUGACUGCCGGUGACAAACCGGAGGAAGGUGGGGAUGACGUCAAAUCAUCAUGCCCCUUAUGACCUGGGCUACACACGUGCUACAAUGGAUGGUACAGAG